GAUGAACGCUGGCGGCGUGCCUAACACAUGCAAGUCGAGCGAACAGACCAGGACUUUGCUCCCCCGACGUUAUCGGCGGACGGGUGAUUAACAUGUGUUUAACCUACCUAUAAGACUGGGAUAACUUCGGGAAACCGGAGCUAAUACCGGAUAAUUUAUUGAACCGCAUGGUUCCCUAGUGAAAUACGCUUUUUCGUACACUUAUAGACUGAUCCGCGCCGCAUUAACUAGUUGGUAGGGUAACGGCUUACCAAGGCAACGAUGGUUAGCCGACCUGAGCGGGUGGUCGCCCAGACUGUAAGUGAGACUGGGUCGAGACUCCUACAGGGAGAAGCAGUAGGGAAUCUUCCGCAAUGGGCGAGUGCCUGACGGAGCAACGCCGCGGGAGGGCUGAAGGUGUUCGGAUCGUAAAGCUAUGAUAUUAGUAGAGAACAAAUGUGUAAUUAACUGUGCACGUCUUGACGGUACCUGAUCAAAAAGCCACGGCUAACUACGUG
rnacentral:rRNA from 1 species